CAGGCUUAACACAUGCAAGUCGAGGGGCAGCAUGGUCUUUUCUUGCUAAGGCCGAUGGCGACCGGCGCACGGGUGAGUAACACGUAUCCAACCUGCCGUCUACUCUUGGACAGCCUUCUGAAAGGAAGAUUAAUACAAGAUGGCAUCAUGAGUCCGCAUGUUCACAUGAUUAAAGGUAUUCCGGUAGACGAUGGGGAUGCGUUCCAUUAGAUAGUAGGCGGGGUAACGGCCCACCUAGUCUUCGAUGGAUAGGGGUUCUGAGAGGAAGGUCCCCCACAUUGGAACUGAGACACGGUCCAAACUCCUACGGGAGGCAGCAGUGAGGAAUAUUGGUCAAUGGGCGAGAGCCUGAACCAGCCAAGUAGCGUGAAGGAUGACUGCCCUAUGGGUUGUAAACUUCUUUUAUAAAGGAAUAAAGUCGGGUAUGCAUACCCGUUUGCAUGUACUUUAUGAAUAAGGAUCGGCUAACUCCGUGCCAGCAGCCGCGGUAAUACGGAGGAUCCGAGCGUUAUCCGGAUUUAUUGGGUUUAAAGGGAGCGUAGAUGGAUGUUUAAGUCAGUUGUGAAAGUUUGCGGCUCAACCGUAAAAUUGCAGUUGAUACUGGAUAUCUUGAGUGCAGUUGAGGCAGGCGGAAUUCGUGGUGUAGCGGUGAAAUGCUUAGAUAUCACGAAGAACUCCGAUUGCGAAGGCAGCCUGCUAAGCUGCAACUGACAUUGAGGCUCGAAAGUGUGGGUAUCAAACAGGAUUAGAUACCCUGGUAGUCCACACGGUAAACGAUGAAUACUCGCUGUUUGCGAUAUACAGCAAGCGGCCAAGCGAAAGCGUUAAGUAUUCCACCUGGGGAGUACGCCGGCAACGGUGAAACUCAAAGGAAUUGACGGGGGCCCGCACAAGCGGAGGAACAUGUGGUUUAAUUCGAUGAUACGCGAGGAACCUUACCCGGGCUUAAAUUGCAGAUGAAUUACGGUGAAAGCCGUAAGCCGCAAGGCAUCUGUGAAGGUGCUGCAUGGUUGUCGCCAGCUCGUGCCGUGAGGUGUCGGCUUAAGUGCCAUAACGAGCGCAACCCUUGUUGUCAGUUACUAACAGGUUCCGCUGAGGACUCUGACAAGACUGCCAUCGUAAGAUGUGAGGAAGGUGGGGAUGACGUCAAAUCAGCACGGCCCUUACGUCCGGGGCUACACACGUGUUACAAUGGGGGGUACAGAGGGCCGCUACCACGCGAGUGGAUGCCAAUCCCCAAAACCUCUCUCAGUUCGGACUGGAGUCUGCAACCCGACUCCACGAAGCUGGAUUCGCUAGUAAUCGCGCAUCAGCCACGGCGCGGUGAAUACGUUCCCGGGCCUUGUACACACCGCCCGUCAAGCCAUGGGAGCCGGGGGUACCUGAAGUGCGUAACCGCGAGGAGCGCCCUAGGGUAAAACUGGUGACUGGGGC
rnacentral:rRNA from 1 species